rnacentral:rRNA from 1 species
AGCAGCCGCGGUAAUUCCAGCUCCAAUAGCGUAUAUUAAAGUUGUUGCAGUUAAAAAGCUCGUAGUUGAAUUUCGGGAUCAAUAUGUUGGUCGUGCCUCGGUACGUACUAGCUUAUUGGUUUCUCCUUUCUGGAGAACCAUGAUGUCAUUUAUUUGGUGUCGUGGGGAAUCAGGACUGUUACUUUGAAAAAUUAGAGUGUUUAAAGCAGGCUCACGCUUGAAUACAUUAGCAUGGAAUAAUGAAAUAGGACGUUUGAUUCUAUUUUGUUGGUUUCUAGGAUCGGCGUAAUGAUUAAUAGGGAUAGUUGGGGGCAUUAGUAUUCAAUUGUCAGAGGUGAAAUUCUUGGAUUUAUUGAAGACUAACUACUG